UAAAAACCCCGACUUCGGAAGGGGUGUAUUUAUUAGAUACAAAACCAAUGCCCUUCGGGGCUCUUUGGUGAUUCAUGAUAACUAUACGAAUCGCACGGCCUUGCGCCGGCGAUGGUUCAUUCAAAUUUCUUCCCUAUCAACUUUCGAUGUUUGGGUAUUGGCCAAACAUGGUUGCAACGGGUAACGGAGGGUUAGGGCUCGACCCCGGAGAAGGAGCCUGAGAAACGGCUACUACAUCCAAGGAAGGCAGCAGGCGCGCAAAUUACCCAAUCCCGACUCGGGGAGGUAGUGACAAUAAAUACUGAUACAGGGCCCUUUCGGGCCUUGUAAUUGGAAUGAGUACAAUUUAAAUCCCUUAACGAGGAACAAUUGGAGGGCAAGUCUGGUGCCAGCAGCCGCGGUAAUUCCAGCUCCAAUAGCGUAUAUUAAAGUUGUUGUGGUUAAAAAGCCCGUAGUUGAACCUUGGGCCUGGCUGGCCGGUCCGCCUCACCGCGUGCACUGGUCCGGCCGGGCCUUUCCCUCUGUGGAACCCCAUACCCUUCACUGGGCGUGGCGGGGAAACAAGACAUUUACUUU
rnacentral:rRNA from 1 species